AUGACUUACACAUUACAGACUAGACAGAGGAAAUACUUAUCCCUGCCGGAUGGCUGGCCGGUGUCUUUCUUCCGGCGGUUUUGGCUGGCGCUCAAGGACAUUUUCUAUGAUAUUAUCAACGGGUUUGCGCUAGGCACAGUAGACAUCUCGCACCUCAACUUUGGCGUCAUCAGCCUCAUCCCUAAAGUUAAAGGGGCUGACUCGAUUAAGCAAUACCGCCCCAUCACCCUUAUUAACGUGCCUUUCAAAUUAUGCUCCAAGGCAUACACUACGAGACUUGCACCGGUUGCAUAGCGUGUGAUCGACCGUAGCCAGUCGGGUUUCCUCAAAGGCCGUAACAUCCUAGAAGGUCUGGUGGUACUGCAAGAGAUCGUUCACGAGCUUAAGCGCACGCGUCAGCCGGCCGUGCUCUUUAAGCUUGACUUCGAGAAAGCCUACGACCGAGUGAACUGGGAGUUCAUUCGCGAGGUGCUGACUCGGAAGGGAUUCGAGUCGGGUUUCAUUCAUUGCAUCAUGCAACUUGUCUCGGGGGGACAGACUGCGGUGUCGAUUAACGGAGAAGUGGGGAACUUCUUCCGCAACAAGUGCUGGCCAUCCUCAGGGAAGAGGAGGAAUAUUGGCGCCGUAGGGGCGGCGUCAAGUGGAUUACCAAGAGGGGCACAAAUACGGGCUAUUUCCACGCCUUUGCUAACGGCCGCAAAAGGAAAUGUUCGAUUCUGA
rnacentral:rRNA from 1 species